rnacentral:rRNA from 1 species
GACCAAGGAGUCUAACAUGUGCGCGAGUCAAUGGGACUUGUAUAGGCCCAUGGGCGUAACGAAAGUGAGAGAGACUCCGCGGCUUCGGCCGCGGAGAGGAAAGUUGGGAUUCCCCGUUCAAUUGGCGGCGGGGACGCACCAACGACCCGUCCUAUCCGCUUCAUCGGUUGGACGGAGUCUGAGCGUACACGUUGGGACCCGAAAGAUGGUGAACUAUGCCUGGGCAGGACGAAGCCAGAGGAAACUCUGGUGGAGGUCCGUAGCGGUUCUGACGUGCAAAUCGAUCGUCAGAUCCGGGUAUAGGGGCGAAAGACCAAUCGAACUAUCUAGUAGCUGGUUCCCUCCGAAGUUUCCCUCAGGAUAGCUGGCACUCGGUGGAAUCAGUCUCAUCCGGUAAAGCGAAUGAUUAGAGGCCUUGGGGCCGAAACGACCUCAACCUAUUCUCAAACUUUAAAUGGGUGAGAAGUCCUGCUUACAUGAUCGAAGCAUGGACAUGAUACCGGAUGUGAGUGCCAAGUGGGCCACUUUUG